rnacentral:rRNA from 1 species
GAUGAACGCUGGCGGCGUGCCUAACACAUGCAAGUCGAACGGAAAGGCCCUGCUUUUGUGGGGUGCUCGAGUGGCGAACGGGUGAGUAACACGUGAGUAACCUGCCCUUGACUUUGGGAUAACUUCAGGAAACUGGGGCUAAUACCGGAUAGGAGCUCCUGCUGCAUGGUGGGGGUUGGAAAGUUUCGGCGGUUGUGGAUGUACUCGCGGCUUAUCAGCUUGUUUGUGGGGUAGUGGCUUACCAAGGUUUUGACGGGUAGCCUGCCUGAGAGGGUGGCCGGCCACAUUGGGACUGAGAUACGGCCCAGACUCCAACGGGAGGCAGCGGUGGGGAAUAUUACACAAUAGGCGGGAGCCUGAUACAACAACGCCGCGUGCGGGAUGACGGCCUUCGGGUUGUAAACCAAUUUCGCCUGUGACGAAGCGUGAGUGACGGUAAUGGGUAAGGAAGCACCGGCUAACUACGUG